CACACAAUAAUCCACAAACUCAUUUCCUGUAAAUUUUAAUGUAAUGGAAGGAUUUUGGAACCAUUUGAAGUUGUUUUUUACACAAAUUUCUAUCUUAGCCGCGGCUAUUCAGGAUGCACUGAGUGUACUGUGAGAGGAAGCAUGGGGUAUAUGUUAAAAAUCAGUUUUUGUGUGCAGAUUGAAAGAAACAAUAGAAAUGACACUUUAGAGUUAUGAUAUCAAUGAAAGGCACAAAUAUCCUCCCCAUUUACAUCACAUUUUGCACAUAUUUCUCCUCAUAAUAUAUAUAAAAUCAUAUGAAAAAAUGGAUUACCUCCCUUUGACAUAGUGAUUUUUUUUUUAGCUGUGUUCCCCAUGUUAAGUUGUAGAACAAGUGGUAAAUAAGCACUUUUCUAGUAUUUUAACACUCAAAUAAUCUGACCGCAUGAAGAUAUUCAUUUAUUUUCACAUAACGCAUUGCGAUUCUUUAUUUAAAAACUAUACUAGACAACUUUUCAUGAUUACAUGUCCUUCAUCUAGGAAACUAGUGUUGAAAUGUUUGUAAUUGGAUUUUUUGUUAAAUAAUUGCUUUUAAAUAUUCUAAAUUGUUACUUUAAU
rnacentral:lncRNA from 1 species